UACGUAGGGGGCAAGCGUUGUCCGGAAUUAUUGGGCGUAAAGAGCGCGUAGGCGGUCCGGUAAGUCGGCUGUGAAAACUCGAGGCUCAACCUCGAGACGUCGGCGGAAACCAUCUGGCUAGAGUCCGGAAGAGGAGAGUGGAAUUCCUGGUGUAGCGGUGAAAUGCGCAGAGAUUGGGAAGAACACCGGUGGCGAAAGCGCUCUGCUAGGACAAUACUGACACUGAGGGACGAAAGCUAGGGGAGCGAAUGGG
rnacentral:rRNA from 1 species